AUUGAACGCUGGCGGCAGGCCUAACACAUGCAAGUCGAGCGGAGCGGCGGACGGGUGAGUAAUGCCUAGGAAUCUGCCUGGUAGUGGGGGAUAACGUCCGGAAACGGGCGCUAAUACCGCAUACUAUCAGAUGAGCCUAGGUCGGAUUAGCGAGUUGGUGGGGUAAAGGCCUACCAAGGCGACGAGCAGUAACUGGUCUGUGAGGAAGAUCAGUCACACUGGAACUGAGAAACGGUCCAGAUGCCUACGGGAGGCAGAAGUGGGGAAUAUUGGAAAAUGGGCGAAAGCCUGAUCCAGCCAUGCCGCGUGUGUGAAGAAGGUCUUCGGAUUGUAAAGCACUUUAAGGUGGGAGGCGUUACCCACAGAAUAAGCACCGGCUAACUUCGUGCCAGCAGCCGCGGUAAUUC
rnacentral:rRNA from 1 species